UGAAUUUGUUUUUGAGGAAGGAUUUUUGAAUUUAUUUGGUGGCGCUGUGUGUCAUGAAGUUCCUUCGAACAAAACGUUUCUCGAAAAUGGGGUCGUUUCCAAAAUUUUAAAAGUAGUUUUUUCUGAAAGAGCAUGCUUAAAAACAUAGAAUCUGACUAUUUUUAAAAUAAUUUGUUUAAAUUUUGUAUUUAAAAAAAAAUACUUAAGUCGGUUUCGCUUUCAUUCUUUACGCUUCUGCCGAUAACAUCACAAAUGAUGAAAUACCAUUAUUCUGUGUUGCCAUUCACAGAGCAAUAUAUUUAAUUCACAUAUUUACUCACUUGUAUUGGCAACGAUAGGGUUGAUAGCAAGCGUAGGGCGCAAUUUUAACUCGCUUCUUGAUUAUCAUAACAUGGAAACGUGGUAGAAAGAUGCGCCAAAGAGCAUCGUUUGUGACGUUAUCAAGACCGCGCCUUGUUUGAAAAAUCAGACAUUUAAAAAAAUUAAUUAAAAAAAACUAUUGAGAAUAUCCAAGUAUUUUCUGGGUCCUUGUAUUUUCUUUUUAUUUAUUUAUUUAUUUAUUUUUUGCUUAUUCUAUCAAUUUCAGUGACAAAAAGUACUACUUUUGACUGAAGGAAACAACCCCAUUGUGAAGAAAGAAUUUUCAUUUUUCAGAAUUUCAUUUCAUCUUCUGUGGUAGUUGAAAACGGAGAGACCAGUAGUUCAUUCGCUGUAGCAUAAGCAAAAAAGAUAUUAUGAGAACAGGAAUUAAAAUAUUUAUUAUCAAAACCAGCUCAACCCAUUAUUAAAAUUUUGACAGGAGAGACGGAAAAACGCUUCACGCUCUACUUGCUUCAUUGUUCCUGAUUUAUAUAGGAGCCUUAACACAAACGGAGUUGGUUUGAGGCAAGGGGUAUGACGUCAUUUCGAAGAGGAAGGCUACCGAUUUUUUCUGGAAUAUGGCCCCGGGGCUUGUGCUUUAAUUGUUUUUUUUUCUUUAAAGAAAUGAUUACCACUAAAAUAAACAAAGAACGCAGAUGAACUAUAAUAGCAUUUACCAUUAGUAUGGUUAAGUUUAACAUAACAUAAACGGAGAUAAUUAUUUAUUUUAAAAAAUCCUCGAAUUUCUUGUAUUUUUUCCUCGUAGAGGUUUUUAAAAUUUUCUGCAAAAUAAUUGUUGCGAGAUUAUCUCUAUUUCUAAGCAGAUUCUGAAGUAGAGAGAUUUAUUGAGU